rnacentral:lncRNA from 1 species
GUUUGGUCUUUUAACGAAGAAUCACAGUCUUCGUCAGUUUGUCUUUUGACGAAGAAUCAAGACUUCGUCGCGCAAUUCUUCGUCGACAAUACUUGUUAUUUUUUUACAGAAGCAUUUUUAAUCAGUCUUAACAGUUUGUUCUAAGAUUUUUGAGCAGGUAUUCAUUGUCAUACAUCUAAAAUGAGUUCAGACUAGUGGGGUAUUCCAUCUAAUACGGAGAUCAAAUAUAGAAGCACGGGUUUAUCGCCAUCGAGGGCCGAAUCUCCCGCACCCGCAUCUUCGUCAGUUCCAUCUCAAGCGAAUCAAAUUUCGUCAAGUCAAUGGGCGUUCGUCUCAAAUCAAUUUCGUCAUGGAAAACUAAUAGUGUUUCAGUAAGCUAAUAAAUUUUCAAUAGAGAAGAAACGUAGGGAGAAGCGUUCUUUGAGAUAUGCUUAUGAACGCCGUUUGAUUCUUGGUCAUAUGUAUCACUCUUGGUUUUAGGACACUUCUGAUAUCGUCUCGAAAAAAGACAAACAAUAUAUAUUCAAACAAUAUUCAAUUAUAAAAACAUUAUUGAAGAAUUUAUAACGCUAAUAAACAAUGUGCUUUUUCAGCAUUUGGUGCAUAAAUACUGAUUAUUAUUAUUAUUAAUUUUUUACUUAAUUGUGUGGGUAGGGUGAUUUACUAAUCAAGUGGUGGCUCAAGUGGAUGAUUCUGCCAUGUUUGCUGGGUCCGCUUGGUUACCUGGGGGAUUACAUUUGAGCUUUUGGUGAAAUAUGGUUUAAAUAAAGAUGAUAGAACCUACCAUAAAGAUAAAAAAAAUUAUAAAUACCUCCUCGCGUAUGUAAUGCGUGCGUGUUCACCUCUGGUCUCCGUCUCUCGCCUCGGUUCCAAGGUCCCUAUUUCAGUAUGCAGUUUUCUGAUCUGAUGGGAGGUGCAAUUACCGACCAGAUCGAGUGUCCAUGUAUGGGAAUGGAUCAUAACAUGUUGAGAGUUCGUCUUUGUGAAGCAGGAUUUGAUUAAGAAUCGAUUAAACGAAGGGAUAAUGGUUCAUUAAUCGCUCAUAUUGCUAAACUUGAAGCUCAGAUUACUUAUAAGGUUGUGAAGAUCGUGUGAUUUUGGAAUAAUAAGUCUGGGCUGAGAUUCGUCUCGUUUGAGUCUCUCGACUGCGGCUUCUUCUGAGGUUCAUUUCGAUUGUAAUGGGUACAUGCUAGUGACAAAUUUAUGAUAAAAUUGUUAGGGUUCUAUGAUGUUUGGUUGAGCAUUUGGAUUUGGGUGCACAAAUAUUUUUAUCAAGAAGAUUUUACCGUU